AGAAGUGAGGUCAUGACCUGAACCACCCAGGCACCCCUAAAAAUUUUUUUUUAAUAUAUAAUUUUGAGAAAUUCUUAAAAUACACAUAAGGGUUGUUUUUCUCCCCAUUGUUGACCAUAGUGCUUGUGAAGUGCAUGGCAAACUGCGCCAGAAGACAGAACGCAGUAGCCCUGCCGUUCAUUUACCCCGGGAAGAGCAACAGUGUGUGCUUUGCUUAGUUUCGCUCCACCUGUCUGUUCCGAGGGCCAUGAACUAAAACCUGUGGCCCAGGUGGGAGCUCUUGAGAACAGACCCCCGCCCCCCCCCAACCAGGCGGGCUGUGGAGAGAAAGAGUAUGCUGCAGGCCAGCACUGGGCCUUCCUCCCAUUUCCCCUACCCCCUCCAGACCUUAAACAGUGUCCUUUUCAAAAUGGGGCCCGAUUUCACAGACUCCCCGCUUGGCUUCUCAGGGAAGAUAGAAUCCAUUCCACUUUUAGCCAGAAAACAGUAGGGAAUACCCUUAUGCCCUGAAGACAUAACCCCUUCUCUUUCUCUUUUUGGAUCUAAAGCUAUAUUUCUAAGGUAAGUACCUAGCUCCAUUUUUAGAAAUAAAAUAAUCGGGCAUUUGGGGAGUCAUCAGUUGGGGCUGGGAAGUAGGGGGUAGCGAGCGUACGGAUUUUCCAGCCACCACCCCUCCUCCAUCUGCCUCCUCUUUCUCUGGAAAGAAAGCUCGCAGGAACCUGGUGUUCUUUGUCUUUGACUAUAGAUCAGCACUGUAAAACAUCGCCACCUUCAGUUAAAACUGGUGUGUGUCUGCACUUUGCAAAACCACACUGAGCUUCCUAACACUUUCCAGAUACCACCCAGAGUAAGCUCUCCCUGGUUUCAGUGCUUCUUUGCUGGGUGAGCCUCUCCACUGCCUCCUGAAAAUGCAUGUCUCUCUCUCCAAUUCAGCACAGGAAGGGAGGGAAAGAAAGAAAGGAGCCUGGAAGACGGACCUGGAGUGAAUGCAAGACUUAAUGCACUCACGAGGUUUUGCUAAUGGCAAAGUGAAGGUCAGCAUACUUUUUACAUGACAGAAUAACUCUGAAACCAUGUACUUUCUUCAGACCCACCAACUCCUGUUCUGAAACAUAAACUGUACUUUUGAAGCUCAAAGUUUUAAACUUGUCAAAAUAUUGAGUGAUUUCCUGAUAGAACGUGCCUCUUUGGUGAAGCGACUUUCCUACCUAGUGUAGUAAGGGCUUGAGUAUUAAAUGAGUUUUCACAGAACAAAGGGAUGGGUAGAGAUAGGGCACAAAUUUAUAGGAGCAAGUCUUCACAGUCCUGGGAAGAGCUGGAAAUAAUGAAACAUGAAACUGACCCUUUCAAGAGCUACCUGAUACCAACAGCCACUUGAAGUCGGAACUUUAGAAGCAAAUCAGUGAAUCUUUUCCAAUAGUAUUUUAAUGUCUUAAUGUGAAUAAAUCUUUCGUUGAUAUUUUUAUAAUAAGGACAUGCUCAGUAUUUCCCCUUCAGACUCACAAUACCCUCAAUAAAGGGCUUAUGGCAUCAAUGAAAGCGAUGAACAAGCAACUCCAUGGGAACAUUUCAGAAACAUGCAUUCCUCACACGUGUGCCCCCCAAUGUAAAUGGCCCUACACACUUCUCCAAAUCCAGAGUUAAUGCCACCCUUGUUCUGGAUCAGGUUACAGUCUAGUCUCCGAGGAUGGUGUGGGGAGGAGUACCCAGCAAGAUUGUCCACCCUCAAGAUUCCAGACCCCAUCUUCCUCUCGUUGUGAGAUGGCAUAAGUCACCUGUCACCCCUCCUUACAGAGUGUCAGGUGUUGGCAAUAAGCAGGCCCACAGCAGACUUCAGUUUACUGUGGGUUAAGGGAACUCUUGACUCUAAUAUUGACACCUCCAGUCUUUCAAAAUGUCCCUCCCUUAAGUGUAAAAAUAGAAGGAAGUGGAAUGUUGGAGAACUUAGCAGCUAUGUCCGUGAAGGUCCUCAGGCUUCCGGUAGCUAUAGAUGUAAAGCACACUGUUAGGCACAUUUUAUGGCACUUAUGAGUAAAGCUGACCAUUGUGUUUUUCAUGGAAGAUAGAAUUUAUUUAACUUUUAACAGUGAAUAAUAGGGGAACACUAUUUCAUCCUGAGCAUUUCUUUCUCCUCUUGAUGUCCAAAGCCAAUUUUCUAAGAUAGACACAUAACUCCAUAUUUAGAAGAAAAAUAAAUGGGCAGCUGGGGAGCCAGCAUUGACGUUCAGCCUUGAAAAUUGAAUCCACUGUUGCAAUAGCAAACUGUACAUUAUCUUCCUAAGAAAAUACUAAUUUAUCAGUCCCAAGGGCCAAAGAGUUGUUCUGUGUCAGCAAUCAGCUUAGCCUCAUAAUUAUAAAUUUGUAAGGAUCUGUUGAAAGACACGGAUCCAGAAGAAUUAUAGUGUUUCAUAGUGAGUCACUUAGAAUAGAGAGCCCUGUUAUUUGUAGACAUUCCAUAUAGUCACAGAAAUUUAGAGAUGGAUCCGGUCUUAGCAAUCAUAUAGUCUAACCCUUUUAUUUUACACAUGAAGAAAUCAGGCCUUGGAACUUAUUGUAGGAAAUAUAUAAAAAGAUAUCCAUAUGCCGCACAUCUUCUAAAUGUCUAUCUUCAAUACAUCACUAACACCGCCUUUGGGAUGUUCAUCAUGGUGUUCCCAAAAUAUGGCGAGAUGGACUCAUUGCUACAAGACUCUGAUUUAUAUACUAUACUUUGCACCUUUGGUCUGGCAUAUUCCUUUCUUCCUUUUCUCCCUCCCCCCUCCAUUUAUUCAUUCAUUCACUAAGAGAGAGGCCCCUGAGCCCUAUUAUCUGUGAGAUGCUGUGCUAGACAGAUGGCCAGUUAUAAACACAAGGAAGCUCAUGAGCAAUCUGUGCCUUAGAGGAACUUGUCGAGACAGACGGUGAGACUGAUGAAUGGGUGAGUAGUUGCAAAAGAGCUUCAUAAAUACCCAACUCUAGGCGUGGGCAAGUGUAUCUCAGGGUGUUGAGAAGCAAGGGGCAAGAGUUUCCUGUGAGAGUCUGAGGAAGUGCACCGUGGACGUAAGCCUUGAGGGGAAUCUUGUCAGAGGAGCCUUGUCUCAGGCAGAGAAAGCAGUGAGGGCUUUGCUGGAGAGGGGGAACUUGCCCGAAGGCAGGAGCACUGAAGGAGGAACAUGGUGUAUCCAGAAACAGGGAGUUUAGCAAUGACAGUGCAGGAGGAAUUGUGUGAUGUGGGAAGAUGAGUGUUUAGAUGAGACGAUAAAUUAGAAAAUAAACACAGAGGCACCUGGGUGGCUUAGCUGGAUGACUUCAGCUCAUGAAGUCAUGAUCUCAGGGUUCGUGAGUUCAAGCCCCACAUCAGGCUCUCUGUUGUCAGCACAGAGCCCACUUCAGAUCCUCUGUCCCCAUCCCUCUCUGUGCCUCCCCUGCUCAUGGUCUCUCUCUCUCUCUCUCAAAAAUAAACAUUAAAAAAAUAAAAUAAAUAUAGGCAUACCUCCUUUUAUUGUGCUUCCUUUUUAUUGAGCUUGUCAAAUAUUUUGUUGUGUUUUUCAAGUUGAAGGUCUGUGGUGGUGCUGUGUCGAGCACGUCUCUCUGGGCCAUUUUUCCAACAGCGUUUGUUCGAUUCAUAUCCAUGUCACAUUUUGGUAAUUCUCACAGUUUUUCAGUUUUUUUCAUUCUUAUUAUGUUCGUUAUGUUAUCUAUCAUCAGUGAUCUUUGAUGUUACUCUUGCGUUUGUUUUUGGAGCGCCACACUCCAUGGCCGUAGCAGAUGGUAAAGCUAACUGAUAAAUGUGGUGAGUGUUCUGACUGGUGCACCGACCAGCCAUUUUCCCAUCUCUCUCCCUGUCCUUGGGCCUCCCUAUUCCCUGAGACAUUCCAGUUUCAGAAUUUGGCCAAUUAAGAAUACUACAAGGACCUCAAAGUGUUCACAUGAAAGGAAGAGUUGCAUGUCUCCACUUCAAAUCAAAGCUAGAAAUGAUUAUGACUUCACUCAUCUGUGGAAUUUAAGGGCUCUUAAGAAUUCUGCUACAUCUACCCACCUUGUGCUCUGCAAAUGAAACAACACAACCUGAAUAACAGCACAUCUGUUUACAGAAUGAGUUGCUGAAUAUUAUAAGCCCACUGCUGAGACCUACUGCUCAGAAAAAAAGAUUUCUUUGAAAAUAUGACUGCUCGUGGACAAUGCACCUGGUCACCUAAGAGCUCUGAUGGAGGAGUACAAUGACCUGAAUGUUGCUUUCUUGCCUGCUAAUACAACAUUCCUUCUGCGGCCGGUGGAUCAAGGAGUCAUUUCAACUUUCAAGUCUUGUUAUUGAAAAAAUAUAUUUUGUAAGGCAAUAGCUGUGAUAGAUAGUGAUUCUUUUGAUGGCUCUGCGCAACGUAAAUUGAAAACCUUCUGGAAAGGAUUCACCAGCCUCGACGCCAUUAAGAACAUAUGUGGUUCAUGGGAGCCGGUCAAAAUAUCAACAUUAACAGGAGUCUGAAGACAUUGAUUUCCACCCUCAUGGACGACUGUCAGGGUUUCUAGACUUCAGUGGACGAAGUCACCGCAGAUAUGGUGGAAACAGCAAGAGAAUUAGCAUUAGAAGUGGAGCCUAAAGAUGGGACUAAAUUGCUGCAAAUCUCACGAUAAAACUUGAAUGGAUGGAGGAGCAGAGAAAGUGGUUUCUUGAGAUUGAAUGUACUCCUGGGGAAGAUGCCGUGAAGAUUAUUCAGUUACAACAAAGGAACUAGAACAUGACUUGCGCUUAGUUGAUCAAACAGUGGUAGGCUUUGAGAGGAUUGUGUCCAAUUGUGAGAGAAAUUCGGCCGUUCUGCAAAUGGUUUCAAACGGCAUCACGUGCUACAGAGAAGCCAUUAGUGAAUCUAUCAAUGUGACAAACUUCACUGUGGUCUUACUUUAAGAGAGUGCCAGAGCUUCCCCCAGUCUGAUCAGUCAACAGCCAUCAACAUCAAAGCAAGAGCCUCCUCUAGCAAAAAGAUGGUAACUGGUGCUUUGCAGCAAUAAAGUAUUUUUAGUUAAGGUC